GAUGAAGAUCGCAGCGAAAUGCGAUAAGUAAUGUGAAUUGCAGAAUUCAGUGAAUCAUCGAAUCUUUGAACGCACAUUGCGCCCGCCAGUAUUCUGGCGGGCAUGCCUGUUCGAGCGUCAUUUCAACCAUCAAGCCCCCGGCUUGUGUUGGGGACCUGCGGCUGCCGCAGGCCCUGAAAACCAGUGGCGGGCUCGCUGUCACACCGAGCGUAGUAGAUUUUCAUCUCGCUCAGGGCGUGCUGCGGGUUCCGGCCGUAAAAAGCCUUAUUUACCCAAGGUUGACCUCGGAUCAGGUAGGAAGACCCGCUGAACUUAAGCAUAUCAAUAAGCGGAGGA
rnacentral:misc_RNA from 1 species